ensembl:lncRNA
CUGCACACUGCCAUGACCAUAUCUUUCCCCCCUCCCAUAGUGACAAUGAAAUGGCAGCAACCUUUACUGCCAGCCAUUGGCAGAAGAGCUCCGUAGUGAUGACUCCUGAUUGGCCAAGCCUGGCAGCUUCCCCCGACCAAUCACGGCGCCUGUAUCCAUGAGAACGAAGCUUGUGGAGCUAUUUAAAUCUAGCCAGAGUGCACAAGACUGCAUAUAUGUACAUCUUACUUUGAGAGAGACAUACAGAGAGGAGAGACAUAGAGAGAGAGCAGAGGGAAAAGAGAAGAAUUAAAGAAAUGAGAAUGUUUAGUUUAUGGUCUGGUGGACAAAUCUGGCAAGAGUCUGAUGCUGCAUGAAUUGGUUGACCCGCAGUUGCAGGGUUAAACUGACCUGGUACAGCCUCGGAUACUGUGACCGUGUGCACUACUGUAUUCUGUUGUCUCUCGUACUUUCUCUGCUUUUCUCCCUAAAUGCCCGUGUGUGUGUGUGUCUGUGUGUGUGGCUGUAUGUACUGGUAGAACUGGUGUGUGUUCAUGCUGAUGCCUUCUCUGCCCGUCCUGUCUGAAAUGGGGGCUAACACUGGGCAUUGGCAGGACGGUGAAAUCGGGUGGACAGAUUGCAAAGCCGGAGGACUGCACAACAACUGUGGAAGGGCACAGAGGAAUCAGGUCCUCAAAUGGUGGCCAAAAAGGUAAAGCUUCUGUGCAUUAAUGCCCAGCCAGUGACGCAGUUUUUGAAAACGGCAUUUGCCGACUGGCUGGAUUGAAAGAUUUUCAAGAACUGUUUCAGGAAGUGUUGAGAGUGUUGUGUUAUCAAUUCAAUUCUGAUUUUACGGGUUUAAAAAAACAAUUUGAACACGCAAAAAAAAGAAACUAACUUCAGAACUGGGCAUGACCCGUUGCACUGAAGAUCAACUGCCGAUCAUUACAGUGAUGACAAUACAUUCUGUUCUAGAAUGGCUUGCAUGAUACACUACAAGUGAUCUUCUUGAUGCAUUCUAAACAACAGAAACUCAACAGAUUUUUUGGAGAAAAGUAAAACAUAAAACAUACAUUUAGUUAUUUUGAUCUACCCCAGGACUGCGGACAGCUUGACGCUAAAUCUCAUGGAAAGCAUGUCUUCUCAUUGGUUCCUGAUGAAUAAGCAUCUGAUGAAUAAAUACUGUCAUACUUUUUUUUUAUACAAAUUUUAACAAAUUUCAUAAAGGGCAUUUUGUGUUUAUGUGUGUUAGUGUGUGGUUAUUACAGUGUUUCCAGCUCAGUUACUAAGUGGAAAACGUUGCAUUCACUAUUUUCCACUAGUCAUUAGCAAUAUAGUUCAUCUUCAACAGAAGAGACCUCUGCAAUUUGAACCGUUUUCAUGGGACAUUUGAGCACAUGAUUACAAGCUUAAGCGUUUGUUGAUCCACCGUGCCACCAUGAGAUAAAAGUCAACCAUGUAAACUGCAUGUUAAUAGUUAUCUGUUUUGUGCUUACAUUAAUCUUAUGACAAAUGGCAAUACAAAUGUCUCCAUUCUAGGCACAAAUUGCAUUGUUAUUUCUAAUUAUUUUUGCUUUUUUUAUAGUUGUUGAUAAUGGUUAGUAAUAUGCUAGGUGGCUUUAUCUCAUGACAAAAUGCCAAUAAAAUUCUCACCAUUAUGUGCACAAAUUGUGUUGUUGUUUUUUUACUGCUUCUGAUGCUCUUGUACUGAAUGUGCCAACUGCUGACUCAUGCGUAUCCAGUGAUCUUAGAGAGGACCAGAGGGAGGUCAGAUUAUUGAUUAGGGAACCACUGAGAAAAUAUGAAUGAAUUAGUCAUAUGUAAUUUAUACACAAUAUCUUUUAGUAUUGGAUUGGUGCCUAUGUUCUUUAGAGGGCAAGUUUGUAUUAGUCAUUUUCAAAUUAGCUUAUUAUGCUAUUCCCCUUGUGCUGAUAUAGUUCAUCUUCAGAGGAGUGCUUGAUGGUUUGAGCUGUUUUCAGUGGACAUUUAAGUAUGUGUUUACAAGCUUACGUGUUUCAACAUGGCGUCACGAAGAGUAUUAUGAAAACAGCUGCAAGUUCAGUCCUUAGUAUUCUGCUAUGUGGUUUUGUCUCAUGUUUUGACGAAAUACCAAUAAUAUUAUCCUCAUAAUGUGCAUAAAUUACAUUGUUGAUUUUACUGCUGUUGAUUAUUUUGUUAUUGCUCACACAUUAGAUGAGCAACCAACUACUGACUCAUGAACAUCCAAAGAUCUUAUUGACUACAGGGAGGUUACAAUAUUGCUUAGGAGGACACAGAGCAAAUAUGAAUGAAUUAAUGACUCAUGUGAUUUAUGAAAUAUGUUUUCUGGUGGUAGGAGGGUGGUGGGUUUGUAUCUAUCUAUCUAUCUAUCUAUCUAUAUUCUAUAUAUCAUAAAAUCAACAUUUCUGUAAAUUUCACAAGCCAAGGGUGUCUGUGUGCGUCUGUGCGUGUGUACGUGUUUGGCUAUUAAAAUGACUGCAACAUUAGUUUAGUCAGAGCGGGCCUUUAGCCUUUAGCCUAGGCUUUACUCAUCAUUUGCAAAUUUGAAAGAUAUACCAUUCACAUAAGAAUAAUAGUUCACCUCCAACAGAGACGUCCUCUCUGGUUUGAGCAGUUUUCCCUAGAUAUCGAGGCACACGACUACAAGCUGAAAAGACGGUAGAUCCGGUAUACCACCAUGACGUGGAAGUGUAUGUUUUAUGUGUGUAUUAUGUUCAUUGUCAUUGUAAUCAACUAUGUUGUUUGUUUUAUGACAAUGGCAACAUAUUCUUUCAACUGUAUGAACAAACUGUGUUGUCUUUUUAAAACUGAUUGUCUUGUUAUUGCUGUCACACUGCAUGAGCAACCAACUGCAACUCAUGUACAUCCAAAGAUCUUAUAGGUGACUAGAAAUCAGAUUGGACUAGUGGUGGGUCUGCAUAGGCUAGGUUCUGUAUUUAAUAUCAUAUGACAUCAGAGUUUUCGUAAGACUUUUUUUGACAGCAAAUAUGGCUGUUAAUAUUCCAGAAUUCUGGACAUUUAGAACAACUAAUGGACAUAUAUUUUAAAUACUGAUUCAUUAUGUCUGUAUAAUCCUGCAUCGCUUUCAAAAUCUGUUAACCUAGCAAACUGAUGGCAUGCAAUGUCGUUUUUUGUCAUGUGGUAAACAACUUCUAGCUCCGAGAUGAGUGUGUCUUUUCUUGACUUGAUCGCGUCUUUUCUUGACUUGAUCGCAUUAUCUCAGUGCAGCUUCAUGGCACUUUGCUGUUGUGUUAAAUUAACAGCUGAUGUAUGGUCAAAGCAUUGACUGUGUUCUGUAAAUGCAGAGGAUUUCAAAUUGAUUAUCCCUUUGAUAAAGUCUUUUUUUCUACACAGAAGGUACACAACCUACAUUCUAAAAUGGAACACUUUAACACAAUUAAAUAUUAACAUGGAACCCGCAGAAUUCUAGGAACUACAUACAUCAAACACCCCCACACGCAGAAACACUCUACCCCCCUACAUGCUACAAUAUAUUAUAAAUGAAUGUAUGUAUUUAUUUAUGUAUUUGGCAUAUUUCCCUCUGGACAUUGUGAGCACUGAUAUUUUCAUCUGCCGGACAACUACAUGUGAAAUGUAUUAGAUGUUCCCUGCUAUGUUAAAUUAGGUUUGCAGGGUUUUUCCCCUACAUUCUAUGACAAAACACUGACAACUACAUUCAGCAAAACAAAUACCUCAACAAUGAAUGUCUAAUAAAGUAGGUGUGCAAAAAAGAGGUCCCCCCACACACAAAAGAAAGUAGCAGGGUUUCCCCAACUGCAUUCUGGGUGGGGAGCAUUGGCGAUGGUUAAGAUGGGAAGAAGGGCUGGUACUUCACCACCAUCACACCAAAGUCAAAGUUAUGUCACUGGACGGUGAAACAGAGUAAUCUGAGAUCUUUGCAGAAGUACAACAUGGCAACACACUAGCUCCUUUUUUUCAGUAUCAAAUCAAUUGAAUUCAAUUGAAUUCAAUUAUCGUGCUAGGCUACACUCUUAGCAAAAAAAAUAGCUGAUCAUGAGCACCUGGGUUUCAAUAUCCCCCCUAGUAGAUAAAGAAGGAUUAUUAAAACCUGCAACCGCAAAAUGGCUAAACAAUGGAAUCCCAUGGAGCAAGCAGGCACAUCAAAGUAAACCGUUUGUUGUAGGCAAAUCAGCACUGAAUGGGGUGCUAAGUCAGAGACUGAGAAAGAUCGUCCAGGGACCGAUUUUUGAUCAUUUUUGUCCCAAGUUGGUUUGCUAACUUCAUUCAUUCAUUCAUUCAUUCAAGGGUAACAUUAAUGUUUCCAUUCCUUAUUCCAUUGACUGGACAGUCAAACGGAGAUGCUUCCUGAAGUAACUUAAGUUAACUAAUAUUAAAUUAACACCAGCUGAGUAGCCU